UCCAGGUUAUCCCUGGCGGUCUCCUGCGAGUUCCCAACUUAAUGAUGGCAACACAGGACAAGGGUUGCGCUCGUUGCGGGACUUAACCCAACAUCUCACGACACGAGCUGACGACAGCCAUGCAGCACCUAUACUCACGUCCCUUGCGGGAAGUCUCUGUUUCCAAAGAUGGUCGUAAGCAUUUCGAGCCCAGGUAAGGUUCUUCGCGUUGCGUCGAAUUAAACCACAUGCUCCACCGCUUGUGCGGGCCCCCGUCAAUUCCUUUGAGUUUCAGCCUUGCGACUGUACUCCCCAGGCGGCAUAUUUAACGCGUUAGCUCCGGCACGGACCAAAUGAAUGGCCCACACCAAAUAUGCAUCGUUUAGGGCGUGGACUAC
rnacentral:misc_RNA from 1 species